rnacentral:tRNA from 1 species
CUAGACCGGCGGGCCUCGAUCCCACAAAAUCUUAGUUAACAACUAAACACCCAACCCAGAGGGCUUCAGUCUA